GCUCGGGUGGUGGAAUCGGCAGACACGUAUGUUUGAGGGGCAUAUGGGGCAACCCGUGGGGGUUCAAGUCCCCCCCCGAGCACCA
rnacentral:tRNA from 1 species